CUUCGAUGAAAAAAAACAAAAGGUCCUCUCUGCAAAACAAAAAAAAAUGACGAUUGAGAGUUCUAGAUCCACCGACAAAAGCUUAUCUUCUCCGAGCUCUACCAAUAAUGUUUCCAAUGUCGAUCUGAAGCGAUCUGAGUUAAAAACGAUAAGUCGGAGAAGGAUAUUGACUUCACCUUUCCCAUCUAUACAACGAAGUCACAAGUUCUGAAGAAAAAAAAAAUGCUCCAAUUGCAGGUCUAACAUGAAAAUUCUGAAUGUUUCUCCAUACUACAACGGAAGACGCCUCCCUUUACUCUCAAUGGUAUAUAGGGUUUGUCAAAAAAAAAAGAUGCUUUCGAUGGGGUUUAAAUGGUAUAGGGUUUGAUCAUGAAGAUGAUUUCGGUGGGCUGGACAUUUAUUUCUGUUUGGAUUUUAAAAAAGUACAGGUUACUCUGCAGUGGGUUUAAAUAAUUUUGAUAGGCUGUAAAAAUCGAAUACUUCUGAUUGAUCUAAAAUAAUUGGCGACAUUUAUU